rnacentral:rRNA from 1 species
UACAGAGGUCUCAAGCGUUGUUCGGAUUCAUUGGGCGUAAAGGGUGCGUAGGCGGCGCGGUAAGUCGGGUGUGAAAUCUCGGAGCUUAACUCCGAAACUGCAUUCGAUACUGCCGUGCUUGAGGACUGGAGGGGAGACUGGAAUUUACGGUGUAGCGGUGAAAUGCGUGGAUAUCGUAAGGAAGACCAGUGGCGAAGGCGGGUCUCUGGACAGUUCCUGACGCUGAGGCACGAAGGCCAGGGGAGCAAACGGG